GACGAACGCUGGCGGCGCGCUUAACACAUGCAAGUCGAACGGAAAGGCCUGCUUUCCCUUGUGGAUUGCGGGUACUCGAGUGGCGAACGGGUGAGUAACACGUGAGUGAUCUGCCCCCAACUUGGGUAUAAGCCUGGGAAACUGGGUCUAAUUCCCGAUAGGACUGCAGGGUGGUGCCUGUGGUGGAAAACGAUUUUCUAGUGGUUGGGGAUGAGCUCGCGGCCUAUCAGCUUGUUGGUGGGGUAAUGGCCUACCAAGGCGGCGACGGGUAGCCGGCCUGGGAUGGUGGACGGCCACAGUGGGACUGAGAUACGGCCCAGACUCCUACGGGAGGCAGCAGUGGGGAGGCUUGCACGAUGGGCGGAAGCCUGAUGCAGCGACGCCGCGUGGGGGAUGCCGGCCUUCGGGUUGUAACCUCCUUUCGACCGCGAGGAAGCCACCUGGUUGGAAGGGUGGUGACGGUAGUGGUAGAAGAAGCACCGGCUAACUACGUG
rnacentral:rRNA from 1 species